AUGGACGCGCCUCGUCGACGCUCUCUUUGACGGCGCGGCAAAAGAGUUUCCUCAGGAGCGGCGAAAGAAGAAGAAGUACUUGGUGGCUGCAACGCAGGAGGAAGGAUCGCAGAUGCGUCUGCUCAACUCUAUCGGAUCCUUCUGCGGGAAGGAUGGAAACGGAGAGGCGGUCAAGGAGGUGGCUCAAGUUCUGAAGGUCUUGUACGACGAGGACAUACUCGAGGAAGAGUUUGUGUUGGAAUGGUACCAGAAGGGUCUGGCAGGGGAGGACAAGAGCUCGCCUGUGUGGAAGAAUGUGAAGCCUUUUGUGGAGUGGCUACAGAGCGCUGAGUCUGAGUCCGAAGGUGAGGAGGAGGCUUGAGAGUUUCUUUUUACUGUGUUACUGUGUGUGGUUUUUUUUCUUUAAUGUUAUUUCGGUUUUCAUAUGUUUCUUUGGCGAAUCUAUAAGCAUUUUGUUUUAAAAAUGCUCUUCUGUCUUUUAUUAUUAUUUAUAUAUUAGAACAUGCAAACUUUGCAACUGGGUUGCUUUAAAUAAUUGCUUCUCGUUUUGUUUGGAUCUAA